GUGGGGAAUUUUGGACAAUGGGCGCAAGCCUGAUCCAGCAAUGCCGCGUGCAGGAAGAAGGCCUUCGGGUUGUAAACUGCUUUUGUACGGAACGAAACGGUCCGGGUUAAUACCCUGGGCUAAUGACGGUACCGUAAGAAUAAGCACCGGCUAACUACGUGCCAGCAGCCGCGGUAAUACGUAGGGUGCAAGCGUUAAUCGGAAUUACUGGGCGUAAAGCGUGCGCAGGCGGUUUUGUAAGACAGGCGUGAAAUCCCCGGGCUCAACCUGGGAAUUGCGCUUGUGACUGCAAGGCUGGAGUGCGGCAGAGGGGGAUGGAAUUCCGCGUGUAGCAGUGAAAUGCGUAGAGAUGCGGAGGAACACCGAUGGCGAAGGCAGCCUCCUGGGAUGACACUGACGCUCAUGCACGAAAGCGUGGGGAGCAAACAGGAUUAGAUACCCGAGUAGUCC
rnacentral:rRNA from 1 species